rnacentral:rRNA from 1 species
AACGAACGCUGGCGGCAGGCUUAACACAUGCAAGUCGAACGCCCCGCAAGGGGAGUGGCAGACGGGUGAGUAACGCGUGGGAACAUACCCUUUUCUACGGAAUAGCUCUGGGAAACUGGAAUUAAUACCGUAUACGCCCUACGGGGGAAAGAUUUAUCGGGGAAGGAUUGGCCCGCGUUGGAUUAGCUAGUUGGUGGGGUAAAGGCCUACCAAGGCGACGAUCCAUAGCUGGUCUGAGAGGAUGAUCAGCCACAUUGGGACUGAGACACGGCCCAAACUCCUCCGGGAGGCGGCGGGGGGAAAUAUUGAACAGGGGGAGCAACCCUGACCCAGCCUUGCCGGGUGAGUAAUGAAGCCGUUGGGGUGGAAAACCUCUUUCCCCGAGAAAGAAAAGGAGGGUGGCCGAAAAAGAGCCCCCGGCUAACUUCGUG